GCCUUCUCAGUGUCGUGCCUAGAGAGUUUCCAGUCCUCUACCAGUCUCGGCUAUGGGAGGGAGAGUUAGGCAGAGGCCUGCCCAUCCCAUUCCUAGCUUGGGCAGUGGCUAGCGAGUGGAAGGAAAUCUGCUACAAGU